UAAUCUUGAAAAAAUUCUAAAGAAGAUGGCGGAAGCUGGGUUUGAACUUGAUCAAUCCCCAGCUGAAAUGGUUCGUUUUGAUAGACAAAUUAGUUUUGAAAUUGCUGAUUCCAUUUCUGCCUUACGACCACUAUGCCUCUGCUGAUAGAAGAUGUUUGCGCAAUGAAAGAUGCUGAACAAAAAUCUGGUGAAAGGGGGCUAGAACUCCUCGUAGGGAGAUCUUACCCGCUGGUCAGAAAAUUGGGAUCCCUUCCACAUUGUUAUUGGAAUUGAUGGAGGAAGAAGUGGAAUUCUCUAGGAAUAAGUUUGCUGGGAGUCAAGCUGACCGGGCUGUGAAGGAAGAAGCUUACUGAAAAGCUGAAGAACACAAAAAUUAUAGGUGAUGGUUAUUUCUUUGCUUUAUGUACGUUUCGUUUUCUAUUUGUAUCGACU